rnacentral:rRNA from 1 species
GUGUCAGCAGCCGCGGUAAUACGGAGGAUGCAAGCGUUAUCCGGAUUCAUUGGGUUUAAAGGGUGCGCAGGCGGAAUGAUAAGUCAGUGGUGAAAUCUCCCGGCUCAACCGGGAAACUGCCAUUGAUACUGUCGUUCUUGAGUACAGUUGAAGUGGGCGGAAUGUGUCAUGUAGCGGUGAAAUGCUUAGAUAUGACACAGAACACCGAUAGCGAAGGCAGCUCACUAAGCUGUAACUGACGCUCAUGCACGAAAGCGUGGGGAUCAAACAGGAUUAGAAACCCCGGUAGUCC